CUCUCUCUCUCUCUCUCUCUCUCUCUCUCUCUCUCUCUCUCUCUCUCUCUUGCUCUGUCUCCGUUUCUCUGUCACACCCCCAGCCCACCUUCCUCUUUCCAGUGAGCCUCUCAGUUUCUCAUCUCUGUCUUGCAGCCACCCUUGUCUUCACUUGGACUAAGGGCUCACCUGACCCCAGAAGGAGAUUCUACUUGGGGCUUAGCACAUUUUUAAAGGCCACACUGAGCAGACAAGGAGCUGCCCUCGGUCGGUCGGCAAAGAUGGAAGUGGAGGAGACCAAGCCUCCUGCUCUGCAGGUGGCCUCAGUGAUGUCUGGGUCUUCCUGCCCUGCCUCCAAAUUGCUCUUCUGAACCUCAUUUGACACUGGGAGGACAGCCCACACUGCCUGUUCCCCUGAGAUGAGUACGGCAUGAGUGGAACAUGGAAGGCCAGGGGCCAAGGUUCAUUACCACACAACAAGAAGACACAGUCAACAGUGGCCAGAUGGGCUGUGCAAACUACUGGCAGCAGCUACAUGAGGAUAUGCUCAGUCUCAUAGACACUGACAACAGUGUCUCACCCCAUCACCUUGAGAGGCUUUCUGAAGCAAGAAAGAUGUGCUCAGCAGCUAAUGGUGUCCAAAGAUGACUUGUCUACCUGGAAGCUUCCUUAUGAGGGGGAGGAAUCAUUUAAAAUAAACCUGAGGAUGUUG